rnacentral:rRNA from 1 species
UACGAAGGGGGCUAGCGUUGCUCGGAAUUACUGGGCGUAAAGGGCGCGUAGGCGGAUAUCUAAGUCGGGGGUGAAAGCCCGGGGCUCAACCUCGGAACUGCCUUCGAUACUGGAUAUCUUGAGUUCGGGAGAGGUGAGUGGAAUGCCGAGUGUAGAGGUGAAAUUCGUAGAUAUUCGGCGGAACACCAGUGGCGAAGGCGACUCACUGGCCCGAUACUGACGCUGAGGCGCGAAAGCGUGGGGAGCAAACAGG